rnacentral:rRNA from 1 species
UACGUAGGGGGCAAGCGUUGUCCGGAAUCAUUGGGCGUAAAGAGCGUGUAGGCGGUUCGGUAAGUCGGCUGUGAAAGUCCAGGGCUCAACCCUGGGAUGCCGGUCGAUACUGUCGUGCUAGAGUGCGGAAGGGGCUACUGGAAUUCUCGGUGUAGCGGUGAAAUGCGUAGAUAUCAGGAGGAACACCGGUGGCGAAGGCGGGUCUCUGGGCCGAUAUUGACGCUGAGGAGCGAAAGCGUGGGGAGCGAACAGG